rnacentral:rRNA from 1 species
GACGGGGGCCCGCACAAGCGGUGGAGUAUGUGGUUUAAUUCGAUGCAACGCGAAGAACCUUACCUGGUCUUGACAUCCCAGAAAUCCCUUGGAAACUUGGGAGUGCUUCCAUUAGGAAGAAUCUGGAGACAGGUGCUGCAUGGCUGUCGUCAGCUCGUGUCGUGAGAUGUUGGGUUAAGUCCCGCAACGAGCGCAACCCUUGCCUUUAGUUGCCAGCAGUUCGGCUGGGCACUCUAAAGGGACUGCCGGUGUUAAACCGGAGGAAGGUGGGGAUGACGUCAAGUCCUCAUGGCCUUUAUGACCAGGGCUACACACGUACUACAAUGGCCGAUACAAAGGGCAGCGACAUCGCGAGGUGAAGCCAAUCCCAUAAAAUCGGUCUCAGUCCGGAUUGGAGUCUGCAACUCGACUCCAUGAAGUUGGAAUCGCUAGUAAUCGUGGAUCAGCAUGCCACGGUGAAUACGUUCCCGGGCCUU